GAUGAACGCUGACAGAAUGCUUAACACAUGCAAGUCAACUUGAACUUCGGUUUGGGUGGCGGGACGGGUGAGUAACGCGUAAAGAACUUGCCUCACAGCUAGGGACAACAUUUGGAAACGAAUGCUAAUACCUGAUAUUAUGAUUUUAGGGCAUCCUAGGAUUAUGAAAGCUAUAUGCGCUGUGAGAGAGCUUUGCGUCCCAUUAGCUAGUUGGAGAGGUAACGGCUCACCAAGGCGAUGAUGGGUAGCCGGCCUGGGAGGGUGAUCGGCCACAAGGGGACUGAGACACGGCCCUUACUCCUACGGGAGGCAGCAGUGGGGAAUAUUGGACAAUGGACCAAGAGUCUGAUCCAGCAAUUCUGUGUGCACGAUGAAGUUUUUCGGAAUGUAAAGUGCUUUCAGUUGGAAGAAAAAA
rnacentral:rRNA from 1 species